rnacentral:rRNA from 1 species
UACGUAGGGUGCAAGCGUUGUCCGGAAUUAUUGGGCGCAAAGAGCUCGUAGGCGGUUUGUCGCGUCGAAUGUGAAAACCCGGGGCUCAACCCCGGGCCUGCAUUCGAUACGGGCAGACUAGAGUUCGGUAGGGGAGUCUGGAAUUCCUGGUGUAGCGGUGAAAUGCGCAGAUAUCAGGAGGAACACCGGUGGCGAAGGCGGGACUCUGGGCCGAUACUGACGCUGAGGAGCGAAAGCGUGGGGAGCAAACAGG